rnacentral:rRNA from 1 species
CGAACUCUGGUAUUGAUUGGUGCUUGCAUCAUGAUUUACAUUUGAGUGAGUGGCGAACUGGUGAGUAACACGUGGGAAACCUGCCCAGAAGCGGGGGAUAACACCUGGAAACAGAUGCUAAUACCGCAUAACAACUUGGACCGCAUGGUCCGAGUUUGAAAGAUGGCUUCGGCUAUCACUUUUGGAUGGUCCCGCGGCGUAUUAGCUAGAUGGUGAGGUAACGGCUCACCAUGGCAAUGAUACGUAGCCGACCUGAGAGGGUAAUCGGCCACAUUGGGACUGAGACACGGCCCAAACUCCUACGGGAGGCAGCAGUAGGGAAUCUUCCACAAUGGACGAAAGUCUGAUGGAGCAACGCCGCGUGAGUGAAGAAGGGUUUCGGCUCGUAAAACUCUGUUGUUAAAGAAGAACAUAUCUGAGAGUAACUGUUCAGGUAUUGACGGUAUUUAACCAGAAAGCCACGGCUAACUACGUGCCAGCAGCCGCGGUAAUACGUAGGUGGCAAGCGUUGUCCGGAUUUAUUGGGCGUAAAGCGAGCGCAGGCGGUUUUUUAAGUCUGAUGUGAAAGCCUUCGGCUCAACCGAAGAAGUGCAUCGGAAACUGGGAAACUUGAGUGCAGAAGAGGACAGUGGAACUCCAUGUGUAGCGGUGAAAUGCGUAGAUAUAUGGAAGAACACCAGUGGCGAAGGCGGCUGUCUGGUCUGUAACUGACGCUGAGGCUCGAAAGUAUGGGUAGCAAACAGGAUUAGAUACCCUGGUAGUCCAUACCGUAAACGAUGAAUGCUAAGUGUUGGAGGGUUUCCGCCCUUCAGUGCUGCAGCUAACGCAUUAAGCAUUCCGCCUGGGGAGUACGGCCGCAAGGCUGAAACUCAAAGGAAUUGACGGGGGCCCGCACAAGCGGUGGAGCAUGUGGUUUAAUUCGAAGCUACGCGAAGAACCUUACCAGGUCUUGACAUACUAUGCAAAUCUAAGAGAUUAGACGUUCCCUUCGGGGACAUGGAUACAGGUGGUGCAUGGUUGUCGUCAGCUCGUGUCGUGAGAUGUUGGGUUAAGUCCCGCAACGAGCGCAACCCUUAUUAUCAGUUGCCAGCAUUAAGUUGGGCACUCUGGUGAGACUGCCGGUGACAAACCGGAGGAAGGUGGGGAUGACGUCAAAUCAUCAUGCCCCUUAUGACCUGGGCUACACACGUGCUACAAUGGAUGGUACAACGAGUUGCGAACUCGCGAGAGUAAGCUAAUCUCUUAAAGCCAUUCUCAGUUCGGAUUGUAGGCUGCAACUCGCCUACAUGAAGUCGGAAUCGCUAGUAAUCGCGGAUCAGCAUGCCGCGGUGAAUACGUUCCCGGGCCUUGUACACACCGCCCGUCACACCAUGAGAGUUUGUAACACCCAAAGUCGGUGGGGUAACCUUUU